UUACUAUCACCUGCACCAACAACAUGCCCUUCUGUUUCUGCCAGCUUUCUCUGUUCAUGCCUGAUCAUGGGAGAUAGCAAGCAUGGGAUGCCUCUCCUUAUGUCGGCUGCAAAUUGCUACAAAAAGUUCUCACCACAAGAUGUUGCACAAGCACUUAACAGUGCUGCUAAUCUUUUCUUGGAAAUCGGCAUAUUGAACAUGGCUGCAAGAUACAACAAGGUGAUACACUAUUAAUGAUCAUUUAAUGUUAUAUGUGCACAUGAAUCCCUAUAUUGAACAUGGCUGCGAUUCUUCGUUAUGGAAAUGCUAAUGCGUUGUGAUCAAAUUGAUCUUAAAGUGCUGGAAACUUUUUGUAUGUCUUCCUCUGUUUCAGAUAUUUUGGAUGGCAGAUCGUAUGCAGAUCCAUGUGAAACGUGUUGAUCCAUAUUGCAGCUAGAGGUGAUAUGAUUUCAACGCGACUUGAGUUUGAUUUUCUCCGUCUCAGUUAAUAUGGUUUACAAUUUUUAUUUUUAUUUUUGAAUUUAAAGAUGCAUGUUCGAAGUAUUGAACAAAAUCAAUGUGCAGUUUCUAUCUAAACUGGCUCCGUGGUCCUGAUCUAGACGGCAUCCGCGGUAACACCAUUAGUUCACGAAGAGGACGUGAGCCUAUUCAAUCACUUCUACAAUUUCACCUUCUUCAUUUGUCGUGAAAAUGGGCAAAAGAGUAUCACCAUUCAGAGAGCUGUGGUGGCAUGGAGGAUUGUUCUAAAUGGAAGGUUUCGGUUGCUUGAUCAGCCAUUCAACUAUGUAUAUACAUGUCCAUACUCUACUUUCCCCAUUAUAGAUUAGUGUACAUGUACCUUGUUGUGAGCACUGUUGUGAGACGGACAUGUUCUAAAAAUGUUGUUCUACAAUUCAGCUUGCAUUCUAUUAUUCUCUAGAGAAAAUAUUUGCCAUGUCUUUUGGUAAUUUUGUAGACCCUGAUGGUUGCAUAGUAUCUUAUGCCUCUACAGACAAACAUCCUCCUACUCUGGAACGUGUUUGGAACAUCUGCAUUUCUCUUACAUAUCACUGCAAUAUAAAAUAGAUCAUGAGUGUAGUCCAUUUUUUGUCAGCAGAUUAUUAUUCAUGUGGCACUCAAUCAAUUAUAUUACCUCGUAAAAAUUUUCAUCUUCCGUUGCAGCAUAUGAUGAGUAAUAUUCAAUCCUAUAAACAGGGCUUAUAAGUUAGAACAUAGAAGUUUAGGUGGUAUUUUUUUUGUUUGUGCACUACUUUGUAAGUUUAAAUGAUAGACAACUUUUAAGUUAUGCUAGGAGCUUAUGAUGUUCUUUCAUUCGAAAUGGUUUCUCUGUUAACCUCAUUUUUUUUUCUUGAGCGGCGAGAUGGUGGUGCCCCGUCGUCUGCAUGCGAGCAGGAAGAUCUUUGUAGUUUCAUGAGGUGCAGAUGGAUCACAUGUACCAUCGAUGCUAGAUCGUGUGUGCCAAGGUCAUCUGGAAAGCGCUGAUACGGGAGGGUUUUGAUGCUUGUCCACUGCUAUGGGCCAUUCUAAUGGAUCAAAUGGUAAAUUAAAUCUCCAUAUUUUGAAGGAGAACAAUUCAUGAUCAGUAUAUUUAGGGGUUAAACUUUUGCAGUUCUUUGAUUAGUUUAGACUGCUUGGUGCCCUUCAUUACUGAUUUGUGUGCUAGGUCGCCGUUAUAGUUGUUGUAGCUAUUUCUAAUUAGUCAUAAUAUUAUAUGUAUUACGAAAUUAUUAUUCUGUUAUAAAUAUGUGAAAACUAUAUAAAUGG